GCAGAACAAAAAAAAAAAAGAGAGAGACUGUCAAAAAAUUAGUUACAGGAGGAAUACACUUCAACACAGUAAAAAUCAUAUAACAAGCUCGAAACAAACAACCUAUUAUGAAUCCUGAAAGCUAUUCUUCUAAGAUUCAGACCAAGGCAAAGUUACCUGUUCCUACCCUUUUCAUUCAACAUGGUACUGAAAGCUCUGAGCCAGAGCAGCUAGAAUCCUUCCCAGAUGAUCACUGUCUACAAAGUCCAAACAUUUCUCAAGAAACUUGUCUUUACAAGUCAUACAUCACUAAAGACGUCUGAUAAGGGGACCAUCUGCCUUGCACAGCCUAACAUCAGAACUCUGUGCUGAGCCCUUUGCCCUCAACUUGUGGACCAGAUAAGGGAAAGGAUGAGGAUAACAUUAUCUCACAGCCUUCACCCAAGCACAUUGGUCACUGCUCAAGCAUCAUCGCCAAGGUGACAAAAAAACAGGCCUUAUACGUUCUCCUACGAUGUCCCCCAACUUGCCGUCAAGACAUUUGGUCUGAACUGCAUCAUCAGCCACAAGGCGCAGCUCAAGUGUCCUCACAUAGACUCAGUGCCCGGAGCAGAGCCUGUCAAACAUAAACAUGACCGGGAGAGCAGGCAAGCCAUCUGCCCGAGUCUCCAUCCAGAUUUGUACAACCUCCCCUCCACCCUACCCCCUAAAAAAAGUAAGACUCCCGUCCUUUUUAUCCUCUGAGGACACUCAGAGACCUGAUCUGCAGAAUCGUCCACAGUCUUCAUCAUCUUCCCAGUACAACCGGACUUGAAUACAGACAGGCCUCCCCCAAAUGACGCUAAGAACAGCUGCCACAAGGCUAAGCAUUGACUCCCAGCCUCGACCCAACUCACCUUCCCUGGGACCAGUCCAGGCUCAGACUGUCCCCCAACCCCCGCCCCGCCCCACCAUCUAUACACAUUCCAGAUCAACGCCGUGGAAUUGUCUCCACGAUGGGACGGGGGAUGGGGGAAGUGCCCCAGGUUCAGAACAACACUUUCAUUUCAUCCUCCGGAGAAGCCUACUCUUCCAAGUCAGAUGUUGCACAUCUGAGAGGAAUCGGAGUGAGAGCGACCCAUGUCCCCGUCCAUGUUCUCCACCAGGACCUUCUGGUCUCCUCUUCCGAGGAAAGUGACCCCCAUGGCAGCGAAGACGCAGCCCCCAGACUAUCAUGUCUUGGACAUGAGUACCGGAGUAAAAGAAAAAAAUAACACAGCAGAGUUUGUCUCAUCAAUUCACACUCCCCCAGGUGUGGUUUAUGUAAAAAUUUCAGAACACCAAAUAAUAUUGAGGGUCAUCUUAUAGCCCAUUUCAUGUAAUAUUAUGAAUUACGUAAAUUUAGCUCAUAUUUUAAAUGGAGGUUACCGAACUGUCCUAUAAAGUACUUAGUAAGUCAGAAAAGGUUUCAAUUGUUUGUUGAUCCUUUCGCAAUAAAGGUCAUUAUGCUGUA